rnacentral:rRNA from 1 species
GAUGAACGCUAGCGGCAGGCCUAAUACAUGCAAGUCGAACGAAUCUAGUUCUUUCGGGAACUAGGUUAGUGGCGCACGGGUGCGUAACGCGUAUGCAACUUACCUUCCACAGGGGGAUAGCCCACCGAAAGGUGGAUUAAUACCGCAUAACACCUUUUCCUGGCAUCAGGAGAUGGUCAAAGACUUAUCGGUGGAAGAUGGGCAUGCGUGCCAUUAGUUAGUUGGUAGGGUAAUGGCCUACCAAGACUUCGAUGGCUAGGGGUUCUGAGAGGAUGGUCCCCCACACUGGUACUGAGACACGGACCAGACUCCUACGGGAGGCAGCAGUAGGGAAUAUUGGGCAAUGGUCGAGAGACUGACCCAGCCAUGCCGCGUGCAGGAAGAAGGCCUUCUGGGUUGUAAACUGCUUUUUAUCUGGGAAGAAAACGCCCUUGCGAGGGUAACUGACGGUACCAGAUGAAUAAGCACCGGCUAACUCCGUGCCAGCAGCCGCGGUAAUACGGAGGGUG